AGAGUUUGAUCAUGGCUCAGAUUGAACGCUGGCGGCAGGCCUAACACAUGCAAGUCGAACGGUAACAGGAAGCAGCUUGCUGCUUCGCUGACGAGUGGCGGACGGGUGAGUAAUGUCUGGGAAACUGCCUGAUGGAGGGGGAUAACUACUGGAAACGGUAGCUAAUACCGCAUAAUGUCGCAAGACCAAAGAGGGGGACCUUCGGGCCUCUUGCCAUCGGAUGUGCCCAGAUGGGAUUAGCUUGUUGGUGGGGUAACGGCUCACCAAGGCGACGAUCCCUAGCUGGUCUGAGAGGAUGACCAGCCACACUGGAACUGAGACACGGUCCAGACUCCUACGGGAGGCAGCAGUGGGGAAUAUUGCACAAUGGGCGCAAGCCUGAUGCAGCCAUGUCGCGUGUAUGAAGAAGGCCUUCGGGUUGUAAAGUACUUUCAGCGGGGAGGAAGGGAGUAAAGUUAAUAUCUUUGCUCAUUGACGUUAUCCGCAGAAGAAGCACCGGCUAACUCCGUGCCAGCAGCCGCGGUAAUACGGAGGGUGCAAGCGUUAAUCGGAAUUACUGGGCGUAAAGCGCACGCAGGCGGUUUGUUAAGUCAGAUGUGAAAUCCCCGGGCUCAACCUGGGAACUGCAUCUGAUACUGGCAAGCUUGAGUCUCGUAGAGGGGGUAGAAUUCCAGGUGUAGCGGUGAAAUGCGUAGAGAUCUGGAGGAAUACCGGUGGCGAAGGCGGCCCCCUGGACGAAGACUGACGCUCAGGUGCGAAAGCGUGGGGAGCAAACAGGAUUAGAUACCCUGGUAGUCCACGCCGUAAACGAUGUCGACUUGGAGGUUGUGCCCUUGAGGCGUGGCUUCCGGAGCUAACGCGUUAAGUCGACCGCCUGGGGAGUACGGCCGCAAGGUUAAAACUCAAAUGAAUUGACGGGGGCCCGCACAAGCGGUGGAGCAUGUGGUUUAAUUCGAUGCAACGCGAAGAACCUUACCUGGUCUUGACAUCCACGGAAGUUUUCAGAGAUGAGAAUGUGCCUUCGGGAACCGUGAGACAGGUGCUGCAUGGCUGUCGUCAGCUCGUGUUGUGAAAUGUUGGGUUAAGUCCCGCAACGAGCGCAACCCUUAUCCUUUGUUGCCAGCGGUCCGGCCGGGAACUCAAAGGAGACUGCCAGUGAUAAACUGGAGGAAGGUGGGGAUGACGUCAAGUCAUCAUGGCCCUUACGACCAGGGCUACACACGUGCUACAAUGGCGCAUACAAAGAGAAGCGACCUCGCGAGAGCAAGCGGACCUCAUAAAGUGCGUCGUAGUCCGGAUUGGAGUCUGCAACUCGACUCCAUGAAGUCGGAAUCGCUAGUAAUCGUGGAUCAGAAUGCCACGGUGAAUACGUUCCCGGGCCUUGUACACACCGCCCGUCACACCAUGGGAGUGGGUUGCAAAAGAAGUAGGUAGCUUAACCUUCGGGAGGGCGCUUACCACUUUGUGAUUCAUGACUGGGGUGAAGUCGUAACAAGGUAACCGUAGGGGAACCUGCGGUUG
rnacentral:rRNA from 1 species